AUUUAUUUAAAUCUAAAUAUAUUGGCGGCAUUUUAUCUUAUUAGAGAAAUCUGUUUUAUAAUCGACAAUCCACGAUAUAUUUUACUUUAAUCAUAAAAUUUAUAUAUCGCCAUCAUAAGAACUAAUUAUAAAAAUAUUACUCUUAAUAAAAAAUAAAAAAAUAGGUCAAGGUGUAAUUUAUAUUAAAGAAAAAUAUGGAUUACUUUAAAAAUAUUUAUGAAUUAUUUUUAUAUAAAAAAUAUGAAAUAGAAUUUAAAAGUAAUAUGUAAUAACAUUACAAAUAAAUAAAAUUUAUAUGUGAAUAAGAUAAUAAAUGUGCACACAUCGCCCGGUCGCU
rnacentral:rRNA from 1 species